rnacentral:rRNA from 1 species
UUAAGCGACUAAGCGUACACGGUGGAUGCCCUGGCAGUCAGAGGCGAUGAAGGACGUGCUAAUCUGCGAUAAGCGUCGGUAAGGUGAUAUGAACCGUUAUAACCGGCGAUUUCCGAAUGGGGAAACCCAGUGUGAUUCGUCACACUAUCAUUAACUGAAUCCAUAGGUUAAUGAGGCGAACCGGGGGAACUGAAACAUCUAAGUACCCCGAGGAAAAGAAAUCAACCGAGAUUCCCCCAGUAGCGGCGAGCGAACGGGGAGCAGCCCAGAGCCUGAAUCAGUGUGUGUGUUAGUGGAAGCGUCUGGAAAGGCGUGCGAUACAGGGUGACAGCCCCGUACACAAAAAUGCACAUACUGUGAGCUCGAUGAGUAGGGCGGGACACGUGGUAUCCUGUCUGAAUAUGGGGGGACCAUCCUCCAAGGCUAAAUACUCCUGACUGACCGAUAGUGAACCAGUACCGUGAGGGAAAGGCGAAAAGAACCCCGGCGAGGGGAGUGAAAAAGAACCUGAAACCGUGUACGUACAAGCAGUGGGAGCACGCUUAGGCGUGUGACUGCGUACCUUUUGUAUAAUGGGUCAGCGACUUAUAUUCUGUAGCAAGGUUAACCGAAUAGGGGAGCCGAAGGGAAACCGAGUCUUAACUGGGCGUUAAGUUGCAGGGUAUAGACCCGAAACCCGGUGAUCUAGCCAUGGGCAGGUUGAAGGUUGGGUAACACUAACUGGAGGACCGAACCGACUAAUGUUGAAAAAUUAGCGGAUGACUUGUGGCUGGGGGUGAAAGGCCAAUCAAACCGGGAGAUAGCUGGUUCUCCCCGAAAGCUAUUUAGGUAGCGCCUCGUGAAUUCAUCUCCGGGGGUAGAGCACUGUUUCGGCAAGGGGGUCAUCCCGACUUACCAACCCGAUGCAAACUGCGAAUACCGGAGAAUGUUAUCACGGGAGACACACGGCGGGUGCUAACGUCCGUCGUGAAGAGGGAAACAACCCAGACCGCCAGCUAAGGUCCCAAAGUCAUGGUUAAGUGGGAAACGAUGUGGGAAGGCCCAGACAGCCAGGAUGUUGGCUUAGAAGCAGCCAUCAUUUAAAGAAAGCGUAAUAGCUCACUGGUCGAGUCGGCCUGCGCGGAAGAUGUAACGGGGCUAAACCAUGCACCGAAGCUGCGGCAGCGACGCUUAUGCGUUGUUGGGUAGGGGAGCGUUCUGUAAGCCUGCGAAGGUGUGCUGUGAGGCAUGCUGGAGGUAUCAGAAGUGCGAAUGCUGACAUAAGUAACGAUAAAGCGGGUGAAAAGCCCGCUCGCCGGAAGACCAAGGGUUCCUGUCCAACGUUAAUCGGGGCAGGGUGAGUCGACCCCUAAGGCGAGGCCGAAAGGCGUAGUCGAUGGGAAACAGGUUAAUAUUCCUGUACUUGGUGUUACUGCGAAGGGGGGACGGAGAAGGCUAUGUUGGCCGGGCGACGGUUGUCCCGGUUUAAGCGUGUAGGCUGGUUUUCCAGGCAAAUCCGGAAAAUCAAGGCUGAGGCGUGAUGACGAGGCACUACGGUGCUGAAGCAACAAAUGCCCUGCUUCCAGGAAAAGCCUCUAAGCAUCAGGUAACAUCAAAUCGUACCCCAAACCGACACAGGUGGUCAGGUAGAGAAUACCAAGGCGCUUGAGAGAACUCGGGUGAAGGAACUAGGCAAAAUGGUGCCGUAACUUCGGGAGAAGGCACGCUGAUAUGUAGGUGAAGUCCCUCGCGGAUGGAGCUGAAAUCAGUCGAAGAUACCAGCUGGCUGCAACUGUUUAUUAAAAACACAGCACUGUGCAAACACGAAAGUGGACGUAUACGGUGUGACGCCUGCCCGGUGCCGGAAGGUUAAUUGAUGGGGUCAGCGCAAGCGAAGCUCUUGAUCGAAGCCCCGGUAAACGGCGGCCGUAACUAUAACGGUCCUAAGGUAGCGAAAUUCCUUGUCGGGUAAGUUCCGACCUGCACGAAUGGCGUAAUGAUGGCCAGGCUGUCUCCACCCGAGACUCAGUGAAAUUGAACUCGCUGUGAAGAUGCAGUGUACCCGCGGCAAGACGGAAAGACCCCGUGAACCUUUACUAUAGCUUGACACUGAACAUUGAGCCUUGAUGUGUAGGAUAGGUGGGAGGCUUUGAAGUGUGGACGCCAGUCUGCAUGGAGCCGACCUUGAAAUACCACCCUUUAAUGUUUGAUGUUCUAACGUUGACCCGUAAUCCGGGUUGCGGACAGUGUCUGGUGGGUAGUUUGACUGGGGCGGUCUCCUCCUAAAGAGUAACGGAGGAGCACGAAGGUUGGCUAAUCCUGGUCGGACAUCAGGAGGUUAGUGCAAUGGCAUAAGCCAGCUUGACUGCGAGCGUGACGGCGCGAGCAGGUGCGAAAGCAGGUCAUAGUGAUCCGGUGGUUCUGAAUGGAAGGGCCAUCGCUCAACGGAUAAAAGGUACUCCGGGGAUAACAGGCUGAUACCGCCCAAGAGUUCAUAUCGACGGCGGUGUUUGGCACCUCGAUGUCGGCUCAUCACAUCCUGGGGCUGAAGUAGGUCCCAAGGGUAUGGCUGUUCGCCAUUUAAAGUGGUACGCGAGCUGGGUUUAGAACGUCGUGAGACAGUUCGGUCCCUAUCUGCCGUGGGCGCUGGAGAACUGAGGGGGGCUGCUCCUAGUACGAGAGGACCGGAGUGGACGCAUCACUGGUGUUCGGGUUGUCAUGCCAAUGGCACUGCCCGGUAGCUAAAUGCGGAAGAGAUAAGUGCUGAAAGCAUCUAAGCACGAAACUUGCCCCGAGAUGAGUUCUCCCUGACUCCUUGAGAGUCCUGAAGGAACGUUGAAGACGACGACGUUGAUAGGCCGGGUGUGUAAGCGCAGCGAUGCGUUGAGCUAACCGGUACUAAUGAACCGUGAGGCUUAACCUU